rnacentral:snRNA from 1 species
UCGCUUCAACAGCACAUCUACUAAAAUUGGAGUGAUACAGAGAUUAGCAGGGCACAAGGACAACAAGCAAAUUCGUGAAACAUUCUAUAUUUUU